UGGGUUAAGUCCCGCAACGAGCGCAACCCUUGCUUUUAGUUGCCAUCAUUAAGUUGGGCACUCUAGAGGGACUGCCAGGGAUAACCUGGAGGAAGGUGGGGAUGACGUCAAAUCAUCAUGCCCCUUAUGCUUAGGGCUACACACGUGCUACAAUGGGUGGUACAGAGGGCAGCGAAGUCGUGAGGCCAAGCUAAUCCCUUAAAGCCAUUCUCAGUUCGGAUUGUAGGCUGAAACUCGCCUACAUGAAGCUGGAGUUACUAGUAAUCGCAGAUCAGAAUGCUGCGGUGAAUGCGUUCCCGGGUCUUGUACACACCGCCCGUCACACCAUGGGAGUUGGGGGCGCCCGAAGCCGGUUAGCUAACCUUUUAGGAAGCGGUCGUCGAAGGUGAAACCAAUAACUGGGGUGAAGUCGUAACAAGGUAGCCGUAUCGGAAGGUGCGGC
rnacentral:rRNA from 1 species